ensembl:ncRNA lncRNA:CR45321 long non-coding RNA:CR45321
UAUCGGAAAUCGGGCACUAUAUUUAAAAUAUCGUAUUGAAUUUCAAAUCCGGGUUUUGUUAGUCAUUUUUUAUACGUUUUAUAAUUAUUUUCUUUCUGUUGAAUUUUAAACUCCGAUGUAUCCCGCCGUGUCCGCUGUUUACCGCCGACGUCCAGCUGACGGUUCCACCCUUCUUUAACUUACAUAUGUAUAUGUACAUUUCAACGAAUCUAGUAUACCCUUUCAGUCUACGAAAAUUUUAAUCUUAGUUCAAUCAAAUGAUGUAUAUUAGUAUAUAGGUACAUAGUCGAUGGCCUCGGUUAUAUUAUCUUAAAUAAAUAAAUAAUGAAGGAUUGAUGAAUUUAUAAUGCAUAUUUGUCUUAAAAACGCUGAGAUUGGUUUGCUUGGACGUGAGCAGGAAGUUCUAUUCCUGCGACUUUUGUUAGAACCCAAGGAAAAUAUUACAUACCAUUCUAGUUCUUAGCUUAGUUCAAUCAUAAAGUUAUAUGUCAAAAUCCUUUAAGAGGAGCAUGCAAAUGGG